GAUGAACGCUGACAGAAUGCUUAACACAUGCAAGUCUACCAAGAAUCACUGCGGUGAGGAAUGGUGGCGGACGGGUGAGUAACGCGUAAAUAAUCUGCCCUUAGACUGGGAUAUCCUUUGGUAACGAAGGUUAAUACCGGAUAUUAUGAGAUGGACGCAUGUUCAACUUAUGAACGCUAAAUGCACUAGAGGAGGAGUUUGCGUCCCAUUAGCUAGUUGGUGAGGUAAAGGCUCACCAAGGCAAGGAUGGGUAGCCGGCCUGAGAGGGUGAACGGCCACAAGGGAACUGAGACACUGUCCUUACUCCUACGGGAGGCAGCAGUGGGGAAUAUCGGACAAUGGACCAAAAGUCUGAUCCAGCAAUUCUGUGUGCACGAUGAAGGUCUUCGGAUUGUAAAGUGCUUUCAGUAGGGAAGAAAAAAAUGACGGUACCUACAGAAGAAGCGACGGCUAAAUAUGUGCCAGCAGCCGCAGUAAAAC
rnacentral:rRNA from 1 species